UGAUGUGAGGGCCAUGUGGCUGUGACACCAGUCAACCCUUUGAUAGCAAGGGUUGAUCCAGCUCAUCUGGCUGGCUACACUGGUGUCCCCUUCCUCCUUCUGAAGUUCAUGAUCUUGCCUGUGAGAGGAGGACCAUUCUUGGGUCAAGGUAUACGAGUAGCUGCUACAUGGCUAGAACCUCCAAGCAAGACCUCUAGAAAGCACCAGCCCUUAGGCUUCCUUUUUCUUCCAAAGGACCAGAUCCAAGUCACCCAAACUUU
ensembl:misc_RNA 7SK 7SK RNA